rnacentral:misc_RNA from 1 species
GAUGAAGAACGUAGCGAAAUGCGAUAAGUAAUGCGAAUUGCAGAAUUUCCGUGAGUCAUCGAAUCUUUGAACGCACAUUGCGCCCACUGGUAUUCCGGUGGGCAUGCCUGUUCGAGCGUCAUUAUCCUCCCUCAAACCCCGGGUUUGGUGUUGGACCCAAGUUGUGUGAACAACUGGUCUCAAAGACAAUGACGGCGUCCGUGGGACCCUCGGUGCAACGAGCUUUUAGGAGCACGCAUCGAGUUGCAAGGACCUUCCGGGCCGGUCUCCUUUACCAUUUUACAAGGUUGACCUCGGAUCAGGUAGGAGUACCCGCUGAACUUAAGCAUAUCAAUAAGCGGAGGA